rnacentral:rRNA from 1 species
GAUGAACGCUGGCGGCGUGCCUAAUACAUGCAAGUCGAGCGAACAGACGAGGAGCUUGCUCCUUCGACGUUAGCGGCGGACGGGUGAGUAACACGUAGGUAACCUACCUAUAAGACUGGGAUAACUUCGGGAAACCGGAGCUAAUACCGGAUAAUAUUUCGAACCGCAUGGUUCGAUAGUGAAAGAUGGCUUUGCUAUCACUUAUAGAUGGACCUGCGCCGUAUUAGCUAGUUGGUAAGGUAACGGCUUACCAAGGCAACGAUACGUAGCCGACCUGAGAGGGUGAUCGGCCACACUGGAACUGAGACACGGUCCAGACUCCUACGGCAGGCAGCAGUAGGGAAUCUUCCGCAAUGGGCGAAAGCCUGACGGAGCAACGCCGCGUGAGUGAUGAAGGUCUUCGGAUCGUAAAACUCUGUUAUUAGGGAAGAACAAACGUGUAAGUAACUGUGCACGUCUUGACGGUACCUAAUCAGAAAGCCACGGCUAACUACGUG